UUUGCAUAAAAACAAAAUUUUACUUUAAAACUUUCAACAACGGAUCUCUUGGUUCUGGCAUCGAUGAAGAACGCAGCGAAAUGCGAUAAGUAAUGUGAAUUGCAGAAUUCAGUGAAUCAUCGAAUCUUUGAACGCACAUUGCGCCCAUUAGUAUUCUAGUGGGCAUGCCUAUUCGAGCGUCAUAA
rnacentral:rRNA from 1 species